UGGCUCAGAGGUUAAAGCGCCUGCCUGGAAUGCGGGAGACCCAGGUUCGAUCCCUGG
rnacentral:tRNA from 1 species